rnacentral:lncRNA from 1 species
GUGGAGGGAAUUGGUAAAUUUUUAAUUAAUUAAAAAUACUUAAUUCCAUCUCGGAUGCUUUCGACAUUACUCGUUACCUGUUUGUACAAAAAUUUAUCGUUCGUAAUUUAACCGCAUUUGAUUGGUUAAUAGAAAUACCUGUUCACUUCAGGUAAAUUUUCAUACAAAUAUUUCCUGGUCAUUUCGAAUUGUGUACUGGUCAAUUCAACACGUUAAAUUUACCCACCCUCCCACCCAUUUUAUUUUGUAUUAUUUGAUUUUUGUACAUGAGUUAUACCUUAUUAAAUCGAAGAAGUUAGUCUUUUUCAGAUAAUGCAGAUUGAUGAAUGUGAUGUCUGUUUGGGAAGUGACUAGUGCAUUUAUAUAUUUUGGAAAUUAAUAAUUAUCAAGAAUAUGGACUUAAAAUGAGAAAUUAUUUAUGACAUAUGUAUGAUUGUAAUUUUUUU